GACUUGGUUGCUAUUGCUGAGCGGAUGGCUACUGUGAAACACAAGAUACUGGUUUUGUCAGGAAAGGGAGGUGUUGGAAAGAGCACAUUUUCAGCCCAGCUCUCAUUUGCCCUAGCUGAAAUAGACCAUCAGGUUGGCCUCCUCGACAUAGAUAUAUGUGGCCCUAGCAUCCCGAAAAUGUUAGGCCUUGAAGGCCAGGAUAUUCAUCAGAGCAACCUUGGGUGGUCACCAAUCUACGUUGAGUCCAACCUUGGUGUCAUGUCGAUUGGUUUUAUGCUGCCUAACCCAGAUGAUGCUGUCAUAUGGAGGGGUCCUCGCAAGAACGGAUUGAUCAAACAGUUUCUCAAGGAUGUUGACUGGGGUGAGAUUGACUACCUUGUAGUGGAUGCACCCCCGACAUCAGAUGAGCACAUCUCAAUCGUCCAGUACCUACAAGCCACCGAAGUUGAUGGCGCGAUAAUCGUGACGACCCCUCAGCAAGUCUCUCUUAUUGACGUGAGGAAGGAAAUCAAUUUCUGCAAGAAGAUGGGUGUGCCGGUGCUGGGCGUUGUGGAGAACAUGAGUGGCCUGAGGCAGGCAUUCACAGACCUCAAGUUCGUAAAGCCAGGUCCUGCAGGGGAGACAGACGCCACGGAGUGGGCGAUGAACUACAUCAAGGAGAAGGCUCCGGAGCUUUUGUCGGUCGUGGCCUGCAGCGAGGUGUUUGACAGCAGCAAGGGUGGCGCAGAGAAGAUGUGCCAUGAGAUGGGGGUCCCUUUCCUCGGCAAGGUGCCGAUGGACCCGCAGUUGUGCAAGGCAGCCGAGGAAGGGAGGUCGUGCUUCGCCGACCAGAGGUGCAGCGCCAGUGCGCCGGCUCUGAAAAGCAUCAUCGACAAGCUGAUCAAAACCAAGUAA
rnacentral:rRNA from 1 species